AUUGAACGCUGGCGGCAUGCUUUACACAUGCAAGUCGAACGGUAACAGGCCGCAAGGUGCUGACGAGUGGCGAACGGGUGAGUAAUGCAUCGGAACGUGCCCAGUCGUGGGGGAUAACGCAGCGAAAGCUGCGCUAAUACCGCAUACGAUCUAUGGAUGAAAGCGGGGGACCGUAAGGCCUCGCGCGAUUGGAGCGGCCGAUGUCAGAUUAGGUAGUUGGUGGGGUAAAGGCUCACCAAGCCAACGAUCUGUAGCUGGUCUGAGAGGACGACCAGCCAAACUGGGACUGAGACACGGCCCAGUCUCCUACGGGAGGCAGCAGUGGGGAAUUUUGGACAAUGGGCGCAAGCCUGAUCCAGCAAUGCCGCGUGCAGGAAGAAGGCCUUCGGGUUGUAAACUGCUUUUGUACGGAACGAAACGGCUCUGGUUAAUACCUGGGGCUAAUGACGGUACCGUAAGAAUAAGCACCGGCUAACUACGUGCCAGCCGCCGCAGUAACAC
rnacentral:rRNA from 1 species